rnacentral:lncRNA from 1 species
GCCCUUGGAAAAUAGAUGUCCCUAUGCGGUCAAUUUCGUCAUCUUCUGCUAGUUUAGAUCAUAAGAAAGCACACACAUUUACGACACAGCGCUUCUCAACGUCAGCUCAGGUAGAGAGGAAAGGAAAAAGGUAUCCGAAGAGGAAAGGAAAAUGUCUGAAUUUGCUCGGUCAGAUCGAUCAAGAGCCUAACCAUGAACCGGUUUGCAAUUCAAAUGGAUGUUUUUGGAAAUUUCAAGAGGCAAACUGUUUCAAAAAACAAGCUGGA